CGGGCCGUGUACUGCCAGGUCGCGUCGCCGUCGACCAGGACGUGGUCGCCGAAGUAGGCGCCGUCGGCGAGGACUCCGAGCACCGUCUCGUCGCCGUACGGCCCGGUCCCGAUCUUCUCGACCUUGCCGUGGGCCAGCAGGUGGACGCGGUCCGCCGCGUCGCCGGCCGCGGCGAGGACCUCUCCGGCCGCGACGUCGCGCUGCUCGCACCUGCGCGCCAGCUCACCCAGCACGUCCUCGUCGGCGAAGUCGCGCAGGGCGGGAAGCUCCCCGAGCUCGGCGGGGAUGACCGCGACCCGGUCGCCGGUCUGGACGAAUGUCACCCUGCCGUCCCCGACCGAAUGGCUCAGCCGGCGGUUCACCCGGUACGUGCCGCCCUGCACCUGCACCCACGGGAGCAUGCGCAGCAGCCACCGCGAGGAGAUCUCCUGCAUCUGCGGGGCGGACUUGGUCGUCGUCGCGAGGUUCCGCGCGGCCGCCGUGCCGAGACUCUGCUGCGGCGGCUGCGU
rnacentral:antisense_RNA from 1 species